rnacentral:lncRNA from 1 species
AUUAUAGAACGUGGGGAGCAUGAGAAAUACACGGAGGUGGAAACGCCGGAGUGGCUGGCGGGUAAAGGCAGCGGGCGCAGAUGAAGCGGGCUGGGCGUCCCACGCGCAGAACCGUCCCGGACAGAAGCCGCAGGGCUGCGCUGGCUGGAAAAAGGAACGCGAGUACAGCGCGCGUGGCGCGGGGUCUGCUCCAGGACGGAAUCUUUUGGGUGGCCCGCAUGAGGGGUUUGCAGGACCCCGGGCCUUUGGGAAGUUAUCUGCUAAACUCCAGUAGACCCUGAGGAGCAGCGGCUCAUGAAUCUUCUUAAACUUCUGUCAUCAGCGGCUGGGCCAGCUGAAGGUGACCAUGGCACACGAGGGAGAGAGAAGCCCGCGAGAGGCGGAGAAAUGUGGGGUCGUCCAGGAGGGUCGACAAGGCAAAGAACCUGAAGACGACCCAAAAGGAGUUGAACUUCCUCUCUUUUUAGAAGAAUGGAUUUCUCGGAGUCUGAAAAAUUUAUGGUUCUUCUCUGGAAGAAUUUUAUUUUAAAGAGGCGGCGAUGUAUUGCUUUAGUUG